UAAAAUAAAAAUAAAAUAUAAAAAAAGCUAAAUUACAGAAAACCCUUCUGUAAUAAUCCGCUUUUUCACUUUUCCCUCCUGACAUUUAAAAACCUACACUUUGCUCCUCUGUAAAAUGAAAAAUGUUCACAGGGGGUUACGGUGUGUAAAAUAACCAUUUUGUCCCUCGCCAUUGUCGUCUUCUUUCCCAUCUUUCUCAGCCGCCCCUUCGUUCGGCAGCGAUUCCCACCUCAAUCGGCUGCGAUUUCUCUCCAUUUCUUUCUCCACCUGCUCCCCUUCUCCUCAUGCACCCUCGCCGCCCUCGAUUUCGGCGACAAUAGGAGAAAACCGAGGUGGACGACAGUAGGAGAAGGGCAAAGAAGGCGAAGGCGAGGCGGCGGAGGACGGCGAAGGGGAUGUGGGUGAGGGCGAGGCAGUGGAGGACGGCGAGGCGGCUAGGCGGCGAGGCGGCGGCGAGGUGGCGAGCCGGAGGGAGUCGAAGUAACAGGGAGAUGGCGGAGGGGUAUUUUCGGCAUAAAAAUAUAUUUUUUAACGGAACCCUGACGGAACCCUAAUGGUAGGGGGUGAAGUGCACAUUUUUUAUUUUACAGUGGGGCAAAGUGUAGGUUUUUAAAUGUUAGGGAGGAAAAGUGAAAAAGCGAGUUAUUACAAGGAGGUUUUCUGUAAUUUAGCCUAUAAAAAAAUGAAUAAAUUGCGCUUUUGGUCCUCAAAUAUUAAGAUGCAUGAAAUUUGACUCCUUGAACUUUUAUGCAUUACAAUUUUUUACUCAAACUAUAAAGUAUAUGACAUAAUUUUUUAAUUUUUCCUGCUAAAUUAUUAGCUACAAAGGGAUUUUUUUUUUAGUGAAUGUGUCAUAUGCUACUAUAAAUAUAAUUUAUUAUUCUUAUAAUUUUUUAAUUCUUUUUUAUCUUUCUUAUACUUUUAUUCUUAUACUUAAAUGUAAUGUCAACUGUUUUUUUUUAAUUUUUUCUAUUUUUGUUCUUUUUAAUUCUAUCACUUUUUUUUUGCACUAUUUUUCUUUAAACAGCUUAGACUUGAAUAAAGUAUUAAAUUAGUUCUGUACUGAUACAGAUUUUUUUUAUUUCCUUACAAUUUUUUAAAAUUUUAUUAAAUUAUUUAUGGUAAAAUUUAUAAUACAAAAUUUAAAAAAUACCGGACGCAUCGCAGGGUUACCAUCCUAGUAAGUAAAAAAGUGAAAAUAGAGAUAAAUGAGUUGUGCACUUGUGCUUGUAUAAGUUGAAUUUAUAAUUAAAAUUUAAGACAAAAGCAUAACUCAAGCACUCAUCCCACUUUCUUCACCUCGGAACUAACUUCUCCGUCAUAUGUUCUUGUUGCUAACGCUGUACGAGUGAGAGGAAUACCAUGAAUUUGAUCUGCUCUUCGUUACAGUUACUAAGUGUUUUACCGAAGAUAAAAACGAAGGUGGCAGAGGAGAAAGGCAAUGAUCGCUAGUUGAAAAUGCUUCCAAAGUAUAUCUGCGGUGAGCGUGUCCGACAAUGACGAGAUAGUGGCAAUAGUAAGAGGGAAAAUUUUGGCCGACGGUGCAAUAAUAUUUUACUAUUUAUUAAAAAGUUACAUUAUUCAAAUAUAUAUUAUACUAUUUAAUAAAAAAAUUAUAUUAUUUUAUAAUUUAAUAUAUACAUUAAAUAACAUACUUUUCUUACUAAAUAGUACAAUAUAUGUUUGAAAAGUGUAAUUUUUUAGUACGUAGUGCAAAAUUGAGUCAUCGACCAGAUUUUUCUUCUUUAAUAUUGUUACCGCCUCAUCGCCAUGCUCAUGAGCGCAGUUCUGAACCUGCUUCAGAAGCAUUUUCGAUCAGCAAUCAGUGCCUUCUUCCCUGCCACCUUCGACUCCAUGUUCGGCGAUACUCCAAGCAAUGCUAUCCUCAUCUUUACUGCAGCAUCAUCAUCGGAGAACGUCGAAAACAAUCAUGACCACACCCAUGUCUUGAGUGAGUUAAACUUCAUCAUCGCCCUUCCCCUCGUGCGCAAGGUAGGGAAGGAGCAGACGGCGAUGUGGGGCAGUGGAUGACUACUGAGAGGAAGCAAAAGAAGAAAGAGAGCAAGAAAAGAGAGAGAAUAGAGAUACCUUAGUCAUUUAAAAAAAAUUGGGCUGACUCUGGAAAAAAAAAAGACCUAUGUUUGCAAAAAAAUAUAAUUAGUUGAUUUUUUUAUACAAAAAGGUCUUUUUAUUUCUUAUAAUUCAGUAAAUUUUUAUCAGCCAAAUUAAUUUUUUAUCCUGAUUUUAUUAAACUUAUUAGUUUGAUUAUAUUUUACCAAAUAAAAUAAAAGAAUUAAUUAUCAAGUUAUAGCCCAUAAACCAAAAAAAAAAAUGAAAUAAAAAAAAAUGAAAGCAACUUUUUGACCUCUCAAUUUAAAACUACUCAUUAGGAUUCAAAACCUAAUUAGUUCGUACUCUUUCUUUCCGGAAAACUCUUUUGACAAUCGAAGGCUUCGAAGGGCAAUUUCGUAAAUAUAUGAAGCGCAAUUUCGUAAAUAUAUGAAGGGCAAUUUCGUAAAUAUACUCGUUCCGUUGUAAUUCUUCGUUCACACCGCCACUCCAGCAAAAUCGCUCCGCUUUGACAAUCUCUUGAACGGCCGAUGCGAGUCCUCGCCCCUGAGUUGUUAGAAUCAACGGGCCGGAUCAUCUCUCGAGCUGUUCAAUAAUAAAAAAGAAAUUAUCAUUUUUUUCCCCGCAAAUGGAAAAAUUAAAAAACGAAAGGAAAAAAGAAUAAAUAAUAAACGCAUAUCCGCGCGGUUGAAAUAGAAAAGGCGAGAGAGAGUACGAGCGCGAGAGAUCGAAAGGGACGAGGGUUUAGGUUUUGUUGUAUAUAUGCUCCCACCUACGCGGCUCCGAUCCCUUCUCUUCUACUCUCGAUCCAUUGUGAGGAGCUUCCCCUAGGAGUGGGGUUUUGAGGCGAUCGGAGGCGUCUCCGGUGACCGGAAAUGGCGGAGGAGGAGCGGAGAGCCGCGGCGGCGGCGGUGGCGGCGGCCGAGGAGGAGAAGAAGGAGGAGGUGGUGUACAAGACGAAGGUCAUCCAGUUCCUCGGGCGAUCGACCCCAAUCGUGCUCCAAAACGAUAACGGUCCGUGCCCUCUCCUCGCGAUCUGUAAGUCCCCUCCCCUUUCCCCAUUUUGAUCCGAUUUGGAUGCGUAGAUCGUGUUUGAUCCCCUUUUUUCUUGCUUUUGGGGAUCGGCGAUCGGAAUUUGGCUUGGUUUGACCUAAUUUGGAGGUGUUUUGUGAUGAUUUCUCGACUCGUUAAUCAUAGGUAAUGUUCUUCUUCUGAGGAAUAUUCUCAAUCUGAGCUUGGAUGCGUCGGAGGUCUCGCUGCAGAAGCUUCUAUCUCUCGUGGCCGAGAGAUUGAUUGAUUCUAAUAGCAAUAUUCAGGUUUUUGAUCAAUGAUCAAUUAGGGGACGAUAGGUUUAUAAUUGUAUCAGGUUUGGUUUUUUUUUUAUAUGUUCUUGGUUUUCUUUCAGGAUAAGGAUGUUGGAUAUGUUAAUAAUCAGCAGCAGAAUAUAGCAGAUGCAAUUGAUCUUUUGCCGCGUCUUGCUACCGGAAUUGAUGUGAAUGUCCAUUUCAGGAAGUAAGUCCUGAUAAGAAUUGUUUGUGGUUCCAUUGUACAUAUUGGUUUUUUCCCCCUAUUCGUGUGCCUCUUGUGUAGAGUAAUGCUGUCUAAACUAUAUUUCCCGGAAUUGUGUAGGAUCAAUGAUUUUGAGUUUACGCGGGAAUGCACCAUAUUUGACCUUCUAGACAUUCCCCUGUACCAUGGGUGGAUAGUUGAUCCGCAGGUACAUUUAUAUCCUUCUAUGGCUUGUCGUGUUCUGGAAUAGUUGUUUUGUUGGUCUUUUUACCAAAUCAUUUAAGGGCCUAUUCGCCUGGCUUGAGCCUUUGCAAAGGUGAUGUUUGAGUAGAAUGUUAGCAGAAGCACUAACAGCAUUCUUCCAUUAAACCACUGCCCCCCGAGAAAAAAAAACUUCCCGUCCCAUUGUGAUAGAAGCAUAAGCUUGUAAUUGGAGUUUUUACAUUUGAGGAGGAUCCCCUCUUGGCUUUUACUAUUGAGUGCUACUUUGCACAGUAAAGUAGCUGUUUCAACCCAUCACUACGAAUUGAUGUUCCUUUUUUCCUUCAGAAAACAAGCAACUCACGGCAUGGUAACUGAACUUUAUUGUCUAUCGACGCAUUUGUUGUUAACUUUGUCAUCUAAUUUUACUCCAACAUCAAGCUUUUUGUCGUGCAAUGAUAAUAUCAAACUUACAUGAUAGCAACCUUGUGCUGCCUUCAUUUUCAUCCUCAUCACGAAGCUCUCCUUCUAUGCUGUACAUUAGUUUUAUGAUUCGAUGCUUUUAAUCUGCAGUCGGUGUUCUCAUUUGUGAUGCAUGCAUGUUUCUAUAUUCUGGGUUUCUUUGUUUUUGUGUUGUUACUGGUGAAUGUUGUUAUUUACUCUUCUGUCUAUCACCGAUAUAGUAUGGCAACAGCUGUCAUGCAAGAAAGAGGAAGAGAACUUUAAGAACAAGCAUCAUAAGUGUUAAAGUUGAACCUAACAUUUACAAGAUGAGUUAUAAAGUGAUCCUCUCACAAGCCCUUCCUAUUGGUGUAUUGCUCAAAACGCUCGGCAUAAAAUAUCCAAGCCUCAUUGAGCUGUUUAAGAUGAUGUUAUAUCUGGUAGCAAUCCGUCAAUCUAUGGUCCCUAGAAUUUUCAGUUUCCAGAUUUCUACAUCAAAAAUGUGCGAGAUCUCGUUGGAAUUAGUGCCCCUUUAUAAUUCUCAAGAAACAUUUAACUUUAUGCCAAAAUAAUGAAGUUGCUCUCUUAAUUGCUACUUUCUUGAAGUAUUUGUUUAGUGCUGAGGGCCUAUUUGGCUUGCUAGGCCUUCAUCAGAAGUACUAUUCCUAUAAAAAUUUCUAAUAGGCUUUUUUCUCAAAGAUCACUCCAAUAGUUUUCCACUGCAACUAAAGAAGAGGUUCAAAUUGGAGUUUCUACCUUAAUGGCUCAAAAGCUCAUUUUUCUUCCCAUCUCUGUCAGAAAAGCUCAACUUUUUCAUUUACCAAAUGCCUUCUAUUUCAUGAGCAAAGAAGUCAUUCUAAAUAUUUAAAUUGCAAAAUAUGGAGCAAAUUGUAUGAAUACUUGAUAAAACUUGCCUCAAUGAAUCAAGGAUUCAAUAUCCCUCCUAUACUAUCCAGCUAGAGAUAAAAAAUUCCAUCUCUUGAAUGAAACCGAUUUUCAUGGACUAAUUUCCAGGUACGAGUGAAAAAACCUGAUUAAGAAAGUUUGGUUAUUAUCAGAUUUGGUAUAUUGAUCAAAACUGAGGUAGGGACAGUGGGAGGAUAUGUAAACUACAAUGUGAAGAUACAUUGGUAUAAUCUGCACAACUCACAUACAGAAGCAACUUUCUAAAUUCACGAGUUUUUAAACAUCUUCUCUCCUGGUUAUAUCAGUCUUUGGCUAAGCUGAAUAUGAUUUUCUUAUCCUUGCUAGUCUAACCAUCUAUUUGCUUUGUUAUAUACUUUGGAUGUUUGUGCAUUCUCUUUGGUGUUCAUCAUGAUAUACUGUUCUUGCUCUUCCUUGUUUGACCCUUUUUCUCGUGGCUACUAUAUGUGAUUAUCAAGCAAAUUUGCAUAUACUCUGUCUCCCAGGACAUUGAAACUGCAGCAGCUAUUGGGUCGAAGUCUUACAAUACUAUUGUCGCUGAGCUUGUUGCCUUUGAGACUGGGAAGGCAGAAGAGAAUAAACAGGCAGAAGAAGAAGAUAUUGUUGAUUUUGCUGCUGCAACAACUGCUGCAUUAGGUGUUCCUUCACCUUCCCUUGCUAGAGGUAGAUCAUUUGAUGAUAAUCCACUCUCUGAUCCCGCUGAGGAAAAGCGACGCCGGGGUGACUUAGAAGAAGAGGAGGAGCUAAUGAGAGCCUUAGAUCUAUCAAAAGCUGAAUGUUCUGAUCCAGUUAAUGUUUCUGCAACACCUAUUCCAAAUGAUUCAGUUCAAAUUCUGGAUGAAACUGUACAUAUUCAGAGCUCUGAAAUGGGAAAUGGAGAUGAAGCGGCAGGACUUUACAAAUCAAGUUUUUCUGCACCAAAAGGGGGUAAUGAAUUUGGCUGCAAUAUAAUGGAUAAUUCUCGGUUAUCCAAGUUGAAUGCUGCUAAUAACAGUAGCAAGACAGAGUCAGAAGGAAUUAAGGAAAUUUCAAUAGCUAAUGAUGCUGUAGAUGGUCCUGAUGAAUCUUUCACUACAAAUAAGCCUUUGGAAGUGAACUCAUCUGUUAAGGAGACAUGUACUGAAGAUUUCUUGGCUUCUCAAAUGCAUCACAAGCCAAGUGAUAAUGUGAUUGGUGGUGACUCAACAAUUUUGUCUGAUCAAGCUGCAUCUGAUGCACCAUGCACUGAUAGUAACUACUCAAAUGGAAAAGAUGAGCCAUCAGAUGCUUCUGAGGCUGUUACUUCAAGCUUAGAAGGGGGCGAGCCCAUAUAUCAGGGAGAAGAGUUCAUUCUUGAUUCGAAAUUUCCAGCAUUUGAAAACCAAGAGCCAAUAUAUGAGGGUGAAAUGGUUCUCGCAGAGCAGGUUGAAAAGCCAGAAAAAGAUUCUUCUCCUCGCCCAGAAGAUGAGGUUGCUCUUCAGCAAUGUAAGGGCUUGCAUAGAUUUGAAUUAUAAGUCCCCCUUUUUCUCUCUCAAUAAGUGUUCCAUCUUAGAUGUUCAUUGUAACUUUGCAGUAUUAGUGGAAGUAACAUGUAAUGCUUCCUUUACAGGGCAACUGAUAAAAAGCUUCCUCGAACACAAUGCUAGCCAGCUGACCAUUUAUGGGUAUAUUUGCAUCUUGUUACAGUAUGAUUACUUUCCCUUUUGGACGAGAUACAUGUGACAGAUAAAUAUUCUCUCUUUGCAGUUUAUUUUGCUUGCAAGAAGGUCUGAAGGAAAGGGAACUGUGCAUCUUUUUCCGGAAUAAUCACUUCAGCACUAUGUUUAAGGUACUAGCAACUGCUCAUUUUUUUUUUUCUUCUCAUCGUUUCUCUUGAGCAUGUUUCUUCCUAUUGUGGCAGAGAACACAAAUAAUUACCUCUGCGCUUCUGCUUCUUUCAGCUGUAGCAACAUUUAGCGAAUGUUUGGCAAACCAAAAACUUUGAAGCUUUUGCUGCAGUGGAAAGCUAAAAUGAAAUUCUAAGCUUGAAGAGCAAAAGCUUCAAUUUGGAGUUUUUGCUUUUGGUGGAGAAACUAUUAGACGAAUUUUUUUUAUACUGCUUCUGCUAGCACUACUCAGACCAGACCACAUCAAACAACAUUAUACCUUACAGCAGGACCAAAUAGGUCCCAAAUAAACAAUGUGUUAUGGUUAGGUUUGUCCUACUAUUGUUCUAAAUCGUUGUACUUUUUCAUGUAGUACAAUGGGGAACUAUACCUCCUAGCUACUGAUCAGGGAUAUAUCAACCAACAAGAUCUGGUAUGGGAAAAGUUGAAUGAGGUAUGCUGUUCUUGGCUACUGUAAAAACUGUGUGCUCAGGCAUAGAUGUAUGGCGUUGAUUAAUUUACCUACUUGAGCUAGUGUUCCUGUUCCAUCUUUUUGUUCCAAUCUUCUUUAUCUGACUUUAAAUAGCUGGAUAUAGAAGCUUACUCUAGACCUAAUUCAUUCUUCUUGAUUAUUCACUACAAGGUCAAUGGAGAUACUGUUUUCAUGACCGGCAACUUCACAGAAUUUAAAGCUGAGCAGAGAGGCACUGACUCAUGGAAUGAACAACAGGCCAUGACCAAUACUGCUGUAUGUUAUCUCACAACUGUUGAUUCUGACAAAUCAUCCACGUUUAAAUGUGUAAUUAGUAAACAUAACAUAAAUUUUCAACUUCUUGUUUGCAGGAUUAUCUUGCUGCGCUCGAAAGUUCAUCUCCGUCAAGUUCAACUUUUAAGUAUAUCACUCGAAUUCUCUAUAACCAUAUUUUGGUUUGGUUAGCUACUUUUGGUGAUUAAAUGUAUUGUAGGAAACAUAGUUUAAAUAACUUCUAGGCAUGCAGUAGUGAUAGAUCUUGUGUAUUCUUUAUUAUUUGUGCAUCCUCAUGCUAAUAGCUGUCAUGAUAUAUGACGCCCUCACUUGGUUCAAACUCCACUGAAAGAGCGACAAAUCUGACUCUCGGUAUUCAUAAGAAAUGGAAAAGUUUUGGUCGCUUCUGGUGCAACUUUGGUGCUGCUUUAAUCUCUUCCCUUCAGGUUUCAACCAUUCAAGAUUAUCAGUUUUAAUUGGAAACAGGACAGGAGUUGCUAUAAGCUGCCUAACUGAGUAGGAAAGUAUCAGUCACUCCCUGCAUAGCUUGGACUUUGCUUUAAUCUGCUUCUUUCAGGUUUAAGUCAUGCCAAGACAUUGGUUUUAAUUAGAAAGAUGAUAGAACUGGCUACUAAUUUAAAGUUUAACUAACCAAUGCUUCUUAGUCCUGGGUAGAACUGGUUUAGCUGAAAACGUUAAAAAGCUAUGUAUUUAUGCAAAACAUGCUAGCAGUAGUACGGCUGGUUUUGCUCUGUUAUCGUCAUAAUUCCACCUUAUAUCAAUUAAAUUGACCUGUUGUAGUGGAUUGUGAUCUUUUAAUGUUUAGCUGACUUGAUGAAAGGCCAUGUAGGCUACAUUGAUGGUUAGGUCUUAAUUGCCAGUAUUGUGCUAGUCAAAGUCUUUUGUAUGAAAUUUAACUUUAACAGAAUUAUGUGGAAAUAGAUAGAAGUUCAAUAUAUUGCUCAUUCAACUUCGUGCUACUCACGUUUGACCAGCCUGAUAAACCUGACUUCCUUUCCUCCCUUUAUAGGAAAGGCUAAACUCAAGGAACUUGCCUGUUUAUAAAUGGAUUAAUCAAGGAAUUCACCUGUUUGAAGAAUUUAUUAAAUCUACGUUCUUUACCUGUUUCAAACCAGCACAUUCUCAUUUAUGUUAAGAUCGUAAUAUCUUAACAAGUAAAAGAACUUGAUUAUGUGCUUUUUCUAUCUAUCCAUAGUGGUCUAAUUAUUGGGUUUAUCAGCAUAAAUAUCAAUAAUAACCGUUUUCUUUUUGCUUUUCUUACCUUGAUUACACCUAGUAUCAAGGAUCAUAAUAGGUACCAAUGGUAGGGCUACAAUGUCUGAGUUAAGCUGAUUUUAAUAGGUUUGAGCCAUAAUUAUUGAACUCAAGAUUCUCCUGUUCAUCUUUGCUGUCUGUACAUUGUCCGGACAUGAACAUUUCAAUUAUUUGUAUUGUACUUUCUAUGGCAGGCACCAAAAUAUUUGAUUAUUGGCAUGAUUAAGGCGUACCUCUUUACUACAAUUUCUAGCUGCCAUUUUUGGUUGUCUUAUGUGCUUGUUUUAUGUUAUUCUGAGCAGUAGAGAGAGAGACAAUGAUACAAUGCAGUGGUUGCUGUAGAUGUUGCUCGCAAAAUCAUUUGAAAUUUUGAAUAUUAAUAAAGAUGUACAUAUUUUUAUUUGAACUGCUUGUCUGUUUUACUCUGGCAGUUCUGAUUUGCAACUGGCUAUAGCGCUUCAGCAACAAGAGUUUGAACAGCAACAGACCCAACAGCCACCUGCACCUGCUCCUGCUCGUCAAAGGCUAGUUGUAGGUCCUCAGGUAAAUUGUUUUCUUUCUAGUUAUUAUCCUGUGGCCUCACAAUUUGAAUCAUCGUAACUGCCUGGGAUUUGUCGCUACCAAGUUUUACAUUAUUUGAGCAUUAGAACUUUCGGAUAGUGUGACCCAUGUUGCACCACUGCAAACCUCUGUCAAUUGCACUUGGGUUCAAAUGCUGAAUAUCAAGGGAUGUGUGUGUGUAUAACUGAUUAAGAAAAGUAACCACUCUAGUAGUUUGUUGCAGCCAAGUAGCUUGGGACUCGUUACCUUACGUGCUCAUCUCAUUUAGGCACCAUAAUAUUAUUAUCAGUAGCUUGUAACCCUUUAACUGCUGCUUCUUUCAGGAAGUGGUUGCAUAAAUUGCGGAGAAUUUUAUGUUUCUCUUUAACUUUUAAGUUCUAUAAGUUAACAUUUGGAAUUCAAUUAGAACCCCCCUAAAACCCUCAGACACUCAGUCAAGUGGAUUGAUUUACAUGUUGUGAUUAUAGGCAAACUGAUAGAAGAGGUAAUGUUCACCAGGUCAAAUAUAGGGUUUGUGAUUGAUUUGGAGACAAAUAGAUGUCUAUGCAUCCUUUGACCGAUGAGCAAACUUAUGAGCAGCUUUUUAGAUGCUGGGAACAACUGUUGGCCUAUAGAUGCAAUAUUUGCGAUAAAUAGCGUUGGAAUAAAAAGAUAGUAUCUUCUUAGAUAUUUGAGGUUGUUAGAUUACCGAAUCUACUAUGGGAGCAAUGUGGAAAGGUGGUGAGAAAAUAUGUGUAGUUCAUGCGUCAAGAGGAUGAUGGCUGAUAAAUGGUCUCAUUAAGAGUUCAAGAAUCCAAGCGUCCUUCAAUUGAUAAAAUGAAAAGUAACUCUCUAGUGCUGUAUUGUAUUGUAGAACAGCCACAGAACUCUCCAGUUUCUUUUUAACAUGAAUAAAUAUUAUUAAUGAAUUUUCACUAGGCUGUAUUUUGUUAAAUUAUUAUGAGUUCUUGAAUGCUCAUAAGAAGAUCACCAGAAAUUACAGACAGCUUAUAUUGAAAGAUUGCAAGAAUGUACUGAAUUAUUUGGUGCCGUGAGAUAGCGAGGAACAUUUCUGAUUUAAUAAAUAAUAAUCAAUAUUAAGAUUGUUUUUUUAAAAUUUUUUCUGAAUAUACUGAUUUUUUUCGCUGAUUUCCAAAUUUUUCUGGCUUGUCAAUUUUAACAGUAGCUAGUGCAGUUAACUUGUUAUACAUGAGACACUUAGCCUUGUUUGGCAUUGUUGCCAUUUUUAUGUUUUUUUUUUUUUUAAAUAUAAAUUUUAUAUGAAAGAGUAUAGAAGUGGAUGGUCAAUUGCUUGUAAUCCCUGUAUCUAAGGUUAAAAUUUUCUUUUAACUUUGAUUUUUUCUUAAGUCGUCAUUAUGACUAAUUUGUGUUUAAAAGAACGAAAAACAACAACAACACAACAACAACGAGAAACACCAACAACAACAACAACGACAAUGGAUUAGAAUUAAUUCAUUCCCUUCUUUUCUUUCCUCGUAUAUCUAAAGUCUGUAUCAUAUUAAAUGCUGUGGUAUAUCUCAAAAUAUCAUAUGAUGCGACCUCAGGUCUUUUAGUUAGCACAAGCUAAAAAAUGUAAUUUUUUUUAUGGUCGUGUAGAUCAAUCAGCAUUGGAAAGGUUGCAAAUGAUUGCAGAGCCUCCAUUCUUUUGUAUAUUAUUAUAUGCCUUGCUUGUUUUACCUAAAGAGUUAAAAACAGUAUCAAUAAUCUGCAGUUCUAUUUCUUUCACAGGUACAAAGGAACUCGAGCACUCCGCCAAAAAGCAAUUCGAAAGCGAAAGACAAGUGCAGAAUGAUGUGAAGGGCAUAAUACACUAUAAAAAUUUGUGUACACCAGCCAAUACUAUUACUUCUAUAAGUAUCAGUUUUGGUGUAAAUAAUUAUCAUAAAAAAAUUGUUACAAUAAUAGAGAGCCAAAGUUUUUGUGAUCUUACAUCAAUGCCUUCCCCAAAAUUUUGCGCUCUCUUUUUCUGCACACAUAUAUAUGCUUGUAUACGCAGUCUUUAACCAGGAUCAGGAAAAUCCUGACAGUUCAAACUUUAUCAUUUCCGCAAACAGAAAAGAGCUCACGCAGUUCAGAAAGUUGGCGGCAGGAGAUCAGACAAAAACAUAGCUCUUUCUUAGAUUAAUGAGCUCUCACAAGCGCUUGUCAACAAAUAAGUUCCACAUGAUGGUCACACUUUACAUUGGCAGCAAAAAGAGCCAACAGAAAUGGGUACUUCUUUAAGCAGGUCAUAAAAUCGCCUCUGCUGAUCGUUCCGUCGUUGUCCACGUCGAAUUUUUUAAAUAGUUGACAAAUCUGCAGUGAACAAUAAGAUUUAGCCAUAAAACAGAGCAGGAUGAACUAUGUUAUUUAAAUGCCAGAAAGUUAGAACUCACAGGAUGAUCUGUCGAGCUUGACAUAGUUGCAAGCAAGAUAUCACCAAGCUGCUUCAGGAUAGAUAAAUGUAAGCAUAAUGAAGUUCUGAAUCAGACAGUACAAUGAAUUUGGGUGGUAACUUGCCCGUGUUUUGGAAAUUUGGGACGUUUCAGCAUCAUCACUGAUUUGAUCAAAAGCUGCUUCACAGGCUCUCCAAAAUAAUGGUUGCUUCCUGAUGUGCGCUGAUCCAAUCAAGAACUGAAACAACAAAUGACAAACUUUUAUCUUAAAAUCAUAAACAUAUCACAUAAGCAAACGUACCAUGCAUGAGCAACAACAUGGGAUGCAUCUUCAUGCCAUGCAAUUCAUCUGAAGCCUUUAGUUGUAAAUAGAUUAUAAUGCUCCUAUUUGAUAUAAUGAAGCCAUUUGCACUGAUUAUAAGUACCGACUUACUGCUUAUUAAGCUGUUUUAUAGAAAACGAGAUUUGACCUAAACCAUAACUAAAUAUCUGCAUCCGCUAUGUAUUCAGGCCGUGGUCGAGUCCAUAGCUCGUCUGUUUGUUUGCUUGCUGAUCUUGUCGUAUAUAGUACUAUAUAUUCAAAGAAAACAAGGCACUAUUUGGAACGAUUUGCAUUUAGUUGUUGCGUCUGUGUCCUUUCCAAGCUUCCAAACAAACACAUUCCACAUUAUACAUGGAACAGAUUAAGCCUUUCCCUGGUCUCUCGUGAGAACAUGUAAUGAAUAUAAUGAUACAAUACAAGGAAUAUGUGAGGAGGUUACGGUAAGUCUCCCACAGUCGUAAUGGCUGGUUGUUCCUAACCAUUUCUAGCGAGGCGUCAGACAAGUAUAGACAGCGGCUAGUGUAAACAAAAAGAGCAGCAUUCUAUAAUGAUGAUCUGAGUAAGAGAAACAAAUGCUGAUGCUGGUAAAAAAGAAAAAAGAAGGAUAUCAAUGAUCAGUACCUGCCGAAAUGUGAUAGAUCCCUUCUUCUCAACAUCAAAAUACCGAAACAUCUGAAACAAAUAAUAGGAACGAACCUUUGAUUAACACACUAUGAAUUAAUGAAUCAUACAGCAGGAAGAAUAUGUCAGAAAUUGCUAAGAAUUUCUUAGAUGGGGAAGUUGACGAUAGUCAAACAAAGAAUUACCUUCUCACAAAGAGGACUCAGCUUCAAACCAAAAGCACUCAAAAAGCCAUAUAUUCCAACUUGUCCGCUGCAGUGAAAAACAAGCCAAAACACAACCUUAAAUUUCAUAGAGUAACUACAGUGAAAAGCCAUAUAUUCCAACUUAUCCGCUGCAGUGAAAAACAAGCCAAAACACAACCUUAAAUUUCAUAGAGAAACUACAGUGACAUUUCAACAAAACAAGACCAUUGCUACAAUCAUCCUAGUUGUAAAAAGUUUUGUUUGUCAAAUAGUGAAACCAUAUACCUACAAUUAUACAUUACUGACGCUCCAAUCAACUCUCCAUCAAAUUUCUGAAAACAAACAAUUAUAAAUAUUUCCAAAGCAUGAUUUUCAUGUAUGUUAUUCAUAAUUUAGAAAAGGGAUAUUUUUGAUAAAAAAAAAAAAAACUCGACUAAUUCCAGUCAAUGAAACAUACUAAGUUCGCAUCACAAUUAUAGAUGAUUCUCACUUGAGUUCUCUCUCACACACACACACACACACACACUUGUUUAGAAGAAAAAUUCAAAUGAUAAAAAAUGGACCUAGCCUAUUGCUAUGUAUCCUGCCAUAGUCCUGUUAGGUGUGCUAACCAGUUUUAAAGGCAAUACAUAUUUCGCCGCAUAUGUACGUGUGAAUGACAUACAGAGUCCAAGAACUUGAUUGAAACAAAAUUAAGAUCUUUUCCAGGUUAAACCAGAUUUCAAUGACCAGACUGAACCGCCUGAAUUGAAGGACUGAUUAUCUCACUAUUUUGUUCGUGCAUAUUCAUUCAUGUCCAAAAGUUCAUUCUAAACAAGUAAAACUAUAAUCUCCGAAUCCUAAAUUAUGCAACAUAUCUACGACAGGAUCCUCAUGAAUAUGCACUAAGUUCUGAUAGAGAUCUUAACGUCCUCCAAUUUGAAAAACAGAAUUUGUACGUUUAAUAUCAAACUAGAAAUUCUGAGUUGGAUUUGAAAACAUGAUUUAACACCAUGUACAUGAAAUUACUGUAAACUUAUAGUACAUCAGCGUAGUUUAAGUUUUCAGCUUUAAUUGAAAGGAAAAUAUGAAUGUACCAUUUAGAGAUCUGAAAUAUCAAAUGUUUUGUUUUAUGUUACUUAAAAGUGCGCAGCACUGAGACCAAAUAAUGUCAACUACCAAAGGUCGGUGAAAUAACUAAUGGUGUAGACGUUAAUAGAAUUAAUAAAUCUAAUUCCCCGUAACUAGAAUAUUUCCUCAUAUUUCCUUGCUUGUAUCGUAAGACCAAAAAGAACGUGCCCUUACUUUUGAGUCAUUGACUAAUAGUUCACUUAAAAAUGUAAUUCAUAUACUCCCAAACCAAGAUUACAGGCAGGGAUUUGUUAAACCAAUGAUAUUCUCAGGGUGAAUGUCAAAUACUGUAGUACAAACACAAAGAAGUGCUAUAGUUUUUUAUUUUCAAUAUGUUAUACAUACUUAGAAUCCGGAUUCAUUGCCAAAAAUUGAUCCAAAAGUUCCAUGGCCUCUGACGUGCUUAUGUUGAAAGCCUGCAUAAAGACAACUAAACAAUUAGAUUUUUAUAUUGUGCACAGUGAUAGCUGUAAGAAUCCAAAAAGAAAGACUAAGAGCAAUAAAUAUUGAAGGUUGCAUAGGAUGCGGCAUCUAAAAUUUACUAAAUUUAGUCACAGUACUUAAACUAUCUGCACCAUUUCAUUUUUAUUCUCAAUUUCCAAAUUUAAGCAUUCAGCACCAAAAACUCACCCAUUUCAUUCUAACCCUUUCCAUGAACUCUGCUUACUGCGUUCAGUCAAAAAUCAGUUUGGCGUAUCGUACAUAUUAUGGGAGCCAUGUCCAGCAUUAGGCAUUUUCCUUUUAAUUUUCAAAGUCUCGCCAAUGGUUGUUUUGGAGGACAACGCUGAAAAUCUUAUUGUUUGAUAUUGGUGAUUGAAAGUUGAGUGUCACAACUGAAAUGGUUGGGUAUAGAUGAUUUUGAAAUGUUGUAAGUUUUCCUAAUGUUCUAAUAUUUGGAUCGUUACCCUGCAAAUACAAUAGAGUUUCAUCAAGGUUCCAUUUUGAUUUUAUCGCAGGAAAUGCCUAGUAGAUCUACUUUUAGUUAGAAGAUAAGACAAUGAUCCCUCACGAGGAUUAAUGGCUUAUGCAUGAUGAAAUUUAGGCUAAAUUUUUACUCAUAUUUUUCUUCUUUUUUCACGAGAAUGAUACCAGUUAGCUAUAAACUAAUUGUAGCUUUUGAAAAAUAUGGAGGUGCACCGACAGACAUAGAUAAGGAUAAACAUUAGAAGCAACUCAAGUACAGAAAUGGGCAAGUGGGCAAGAUGGUUUAUGAAAGCACAAUCCAAUGAAGCACAAGAAAUUUUGAAUCUGCACUGGAGUAUGAAAAUUGAAGAAUACAAGAUCUAAAAACAUGUAAUCAUUCUUUAAAUAAAAUUAAAAAGGAUGGAAGGACAGCUGGGUUGUGAGAGAUCAGGGCGAAACUACUGUUUCCAGCUUGCAAUCAAAUUAACGCAUGAGCGAAAGCUAAAAGAAACAACCGAUAAGAUAACUGCUUUACAAAAUUGUCAAAAAGAAAUAAUCAAUGAGACUACCUAAACAUAUUCGUAUGUCAAGUCCCAUGUGAAUGUUUUGUAAUACCACUAAAUGACAUGAUAGCAGAUAAAAAUCAAUUUCUGGAAGUUACUCACACUUUCAACCCAUGCCAUUUCUACCAUGUAAUUUGCGCAAUUGUCCUGCAAUAGAGAUCAAAUAAUCUAAAAUGUAAUAAAGCAAUAAAGACAAACUUGAGCCACAUACAACAAUCAUGGCAAAAUAUUUAUUUUCAUUAGAAAAAAGUAUAACAGACAUGUAAUAACAAAAGCAGAUUCGGUUCCAAUGUCACAACAGUAAAAACUUUAUUAAUCCUUCCAUUAGUUCAAAGAUUCCUGCUCCAUCAUUAUAUCCAAGUUAUACUAAAUUGGAGCACGAGGCAGCAAGAAAAUGUGACCCUUGUCAUGCUGAUGUCUGUUAUUCCACGUGCCAAAAGAUGGAAGGCUAGAAGAUGGAAGGCUAGAUAAUUGCUAUAAGCAAAUUAGCAAACUGAAGGGACCACUCCAAUCUAUGGAUAUUCAAACUACUGCAUGCUUUGCAAAAGUAACAUGAAUACAUUUAUGCAGUUCAUGAUUAAAAGUCCAUCCAAUACGACUAGCAAUGCUUUCCAACUAAAAGCAUGAUUGAACAAGGAAAAACCUGGCAGAAAAAAUCCAACAAACGAAAAGGCAUGGAUGGGUACAAGCCAAGUGAAGAAUGAUACAAACAGAAAUGUGCACAAAGCUACAAACUACUCAGAACUAAAUAAUCUAAUUUAAAUAUGAAGCAAUGAGCGAAGGAACUAAAUAAUCUAAUUUAAAUACGAAGCAAUAAGCAAAGAUAGAAACAAGUCUUGCCUUGCAACAAUAUGGUUGAAAAUUCGAGGUUUAAGAGUAGGCACUUCAUGCAAAAGCCUAAAUCUUGUUAGGUUAAGCCCAUCUUAAAUUAGAUACCUUGCAGGACCCCAUUUUUGUAGGACUGUAACUGGCUAAUGUUAUCUUUUGUGUGCAUAUGUUAUAUCAUACUUAUCAUAAAUUAUCAACACUUGUUUUAAAUGGCUAGAUGAAACAUGACCCUAAUCUGUUGGCCACAUGGAGUUUCAGUAAGUCCAAUCAUCAGUUUCCAUCAAUAAGAGUUGAUUGAAGUGUGACGUGUCAUCGUGGACACUUGGAACCCAAUUACUUGGAUCCUAGUCUGCAUCUAGGUUGCCACUUAGGUGGAACACUGGGGUUCGUCUAAUAUGAUACUACCAACAUAGUAUAAACAUGUCAGAAAAUACUAGGAGUUAACUUGAAGGACAAUGAUAAUAGAAAGGAAGCAUGAGAGUUCCGUCUUAAUAAUCUAGGGAUGUCAGAGUUUGUGCCAUUUCAGUUUGGAAAAGCAUGAAAAAACAGAUUAUGAUUUAGAAAAGGAUCAUUAAUCUAAAUUUGUUAGAUGGGUAAGAGAUCAAAAUUAAUGUAACUUGGCUGGAAAUGAAGCAAGGAAGAUUGCACUAGAGUUUCAAAUCAUUUCAAAUGGCAAUUAAAGUUCUUUACCUUUCCAAGUUCUGAUGCUCUGCUCAGAAACAGUACAUCACCAUAAGAAUGAGACGUCUGUAAAACAUUAAGAGCGUGUGCCAUUGCAUAACUAGUCUGCAAAAUUCAAGAGUGCCCACAAAAUGCAAAGUUAGUUGUAUCUUCCAUAUUGCACGGCUCCUUCAAUAUAAGGAUUGUGUGCAACAAGCUAUAUAAAUAUCAGUGAGCACUUGCUUUUAAUUACAAGACGCAAACAAUCAUGUACAAAAUAAAGUUCACAAGAGAAAAGAACUACAUGAAUUCCACAUAUGAAGAGAAUGAAAAGAAGCGCUCAAGGCCACAAAAGAAAUAUGAUUGGAAAUAGUUCUUUCAAUCAAAAUUAGAUGUUCCCUAUUGCUUUAUUAGGGACUCCCUUCAACUUUUGAUGUUUUACAACAUGCAAAGGAAAGAAUAGAGGAGAAAAGAUGCAGAACAGAUUUGCAACAGCUCACCUGGGCUGCAAAUUGAGCUGCAUUCACCUGCUUUCCAUCAGGUGGAGAGACAACAGGUAGGUAUUCCACCUGUAAAUAAAAAAGAAGGUUUGUACAAUUCAACUUAUCAAAUGGAGUUUCCUGUAAGAAAGCUGUACAGGAAACUCCAGAACUCACAGGCAUUAGAACCUUCAGUGGUUCAGCCGGGAUACACUAAUCAGGAGCAACAUAUUUUGAAUAAGUUUUCGCAUGCCAAUAGUCAACUAGUUUGGCAUUAUGCCAAACAGUAUCAACCAUUAUAAAGAAAGUUACACAUCAUGGGCUCAAAUAGAUGUAGAUAAUCACAGGAACUGAAGCAACUAGGUUUAUAACUAAUAUAUUGUGAUUUAGAAUAAGAAGAAUCAAAGGAUAAAGUUGCAUUCUAAGUGCUCACUAUCUAUAUAUAUCCAUCCCAUUGGAACCCUAGUAAGAGUAGAAAAUUUAUAUCUUGCGACAAGAAUGCAUUAUGCUUAUUAGAAAAUUAAGCAUGUCAAUCACAUGCUAACCAACUUGGCAACUUCAGCACUCUUAUUUUCUAGAUAUUCUGAAUCAUUAGUUGAUUAUCAUAGUGCUCUGGCUUAAUAUAUCAUGUACUUCAAUCAACUAUUAAGCUACAAACAGGAAGAUUCAGCAUGUAGACCUAUUAAAGGAAUACAUGCUAUAUAACAUUCCAAACCAAUAUGAGGAUAUUAGUAUUUUAGGAGUAAAUCUGUCACACGAAAAACAAUUUUAAGCACAACUUGCCAGGAUAGUAUCUCAUAUAUCCUCUAAAGUAUCAACAGCAUAGAAAAGUUGCAUACAAGAAAAAUGAAAGGAAAAUAGAAUAACUCUGACUUCAAUCCAAGUGGCCUAUAUGAACAAUCACAAUGAAGUUGAUAUAUAGUCUGCAUAAAUCACAUAGAACAGCCAGUAAGGGAUUACCAAGGAAUCAUACCUCCAUGAAAUUGUGAAACUGAGUGAACAUUUUGAACAUGAGCUUUGCUAACGAAAUGUUUCCCCUGAAUACAGCAUCAAAUGCAUUAUAACAUAAUAGGAUAAAAGAAAAGCAUAUUCAAUGCAGAAAACUUACCAUGACUGAUCAAAAUGUACAUAAGGGUAACGAACAAUGACAGGUUGGACGGGGUAGCCGGGGAUAAAUGCGCCAAGUUGAAACGAAAUAAGAAACCUCCCAUUUGAAGUGGUGCCCUCAGGAAAUAAUAGGAGAUGCGGGAAACUAGCGCAAGCAGCCUUUCUCUGAAAUCAAGUCCUAGAAAGUAUGUAUCAUAUCAAACAGAUAAUAAAAGUAUAGAGUUGUUUCUUUUAUUUCCUAACCAGAAAUAAGAUUUAACUCUCUGCAUACAUAGAAACUAGGGUAAGCCAAGAAUUUAUGCUAGUGAAGACUGUAACUGCAGAAGGAACACACAGUUAAUGCACAUUUAUUGUGUCAUGAUAUGAACCCUUUUUGACCCCAACUAAAAGUGCAUACAUGCUACGCAAAGUCAUAAAUUUAGCAUUGAAAUAUCUACUUGAAAAGGAUGAUCAAGAAUUCCAUUCUUUAAUGACACUAUAUUAUGAAAAAAAUCCCCUACUUUAAAACAUGAGAAUUCUCAAUGCCUUUGAUAGUUUAUUGAAAACGAUAGGGAUAUUGAUGAGAUGUGAAGCAUAUGGUUAGUGGAAGAUGAAUGAAGUGAUGAGUUCAAUAAUGGGAGUUUCCGGUUGCAACCGUCUAUGUCAUUUGCAUUUUUUUUUUUACUGACAGCUAGCAAGAUUUUAGAGCCUAUCUAGCAGGUAUUCACAAUUCAUGCACACCAAAUAUGACGAGGAAAAUCAAGAAAUAAGCGUAAAUGUUCUAUUUGAUGUUCAAUCUACAGUCGUAGAAUAGCAUGUGUCAAAACGGAUGUCUUAGAGAAGGCAAAAUAUUACAAGGCACAAAUCAAAAAAUCAAAGCAUUGCCUUCUACAAUGCUUAUUGAACAGCAAACUAGACUGACUAUAGAAGAAACUUAGAAUUAUAUAGAAUUUUUAGGGGAAAACAAGAAGACAAUAAACAUGCCAAAUGUUAAAUCACAGAGAGAGUGGGGGAAGGGCUUCUUACCUUGAUUUCAUUUACAGCAUGCUUUCGUGACAUUGGAGAGAACCUAUCAACGUAAAUGACCUACAGAAUAUGAAUCUAAAACAUGAAAUGGUAUAUUCCAAGUAUUUUAACUAAAUUUGUUGGAAAUCAGAUUACUCAGCAAAAGAUCAAUAUAAUGGAAUAUUCUUAUUGAUAAGACAUCAAAAUGAGAAUGGCAUAAGAGUACCUGCAUUGCCCUAAUAAUAGUUCCAACAAAGGGUAGAGCAUCAUGCGACUCUGAAGCAACAAUUGUCGGAAAUAGUUCAUAGAAAAAAAAUAUGGGUUCUACAUAUGAGAUAUGAUUGGAAACAACUACAGGCGCAAGCUCCCGUGAAGCAGGCCUUCCUAUUCUUCUAAUCCAAUGAUAUCUGAAGCAGCACAGGAAACCAAAAAGAAGAAAACAAAAAAAGAAGAAAGAAUUAGUUAAAUUGAUUUACUGAAAAUAUAUCAAUGCAAUACUAUAUAGCCAAAAAGAAUUAUCCUUGCUUCAAUUUAAGGCACUGCAGCAAAAGUAUAAAUAAAGAAAUAGAAGACAUUUGUGAUGUUUGCAAGAAGAGACAUAUGGGGCAGUUUAUCAUACAAAUAAUUAAUCCAUGACUGAGCAAUAGAAGAGACCAAGUCAUAGGAAUUGUGACUUGAAUCUCCCAAUCAAAGAAGAUGCAUUCCCAGUUAUGUCUCCGUAUCAUCUAAUAGGGUUCAAGAAGCUCCUUUGAAACCUAGCAUAUAUUUCUAUAUAGGACACAGGAUACAUCUCAUUUUGCAACUUUGCAUUAGCGUAGUGAAAAUUCAGAAUAAAUCAUGAAGCAGAAAUCCAUAUUAGAACCACUGUGCUGUUAGUUCGGACCACGGAGAAUUAAACCAACCGCUGAAGCUGUUGGAAAGCAAACAGUAGCAGUGUUGAAUCCACAUUUAAGAAAUGGUGAUACCUAAGUGCUAAAGAAACAAGAUGAGCAUGCAGGGAAAUAAUUUUGCCACUCCAUUCGGAAACCACUCCAACGAAUAAAGUCAUAUUAACAAGUGCAUCUAUCACCUAAAUGCUGCUGUUCGCUUAUAUCAAGAAAAGGAUAGCAUGUCGGAUUGAUGACUACGGGAGGUUGGGGGAUGAGAGAAGGUUCAUCAUUCUCAAAAACAAGUGCAUCUAAUACUCUGCUCAUAAAUAUUGUACGGUAACCUCCAUGAAUCUACCUCCUCAAAUGCAAAUUAAUCUGAUAAAGAACUAUAUCUGGAAGUAUUUGGCAACGUAAACCAAAACAGCUAGCUCGUUCCACCAAGAUCAUUUUAAAACCUAGUACCUCUCAUUUCCUGAUCCAUGCUUGGAUCCCUCUUUACCCGAAGAUUUCUAAAGAACUCAAAAUCACUAAAGAGCCAUUGACAACAUAGGAAAAUGUCUAAAACCAUUAAACUCCUGCAGAAAAGAUUAUAAAUACGAGAAGAAUCAAAUCAAAUUCGUUCCAAUUACCCAAAUGAGAAGAGGAUGCAUCUGGCGCAGAUCCUGGUGAUCCACAUGAGCCGACACCGCCACUUCGGCAUCGGAUUCUCCUUAUCCUCCCACCCCUGCAGCGCGAUCCUCGUCGCCACGUACCCGAUCCCGAUCGCGAUCCCGAACAGCGCCAGCCUCACCGCCACCAGGGGCAAGCACACCGCGAUCUUGCACCACUCGUACACCCCUCCCAUCGCCGGCGUGUGGUUCCGGAACGGAUUCACCGCGCUCGGCCGCGCCGCCGGCGGCGGCGGCGCCCCGAGGAACUCGAACGGGUUCUCCGCCGCCUCCGCCCCUCCGCCGCCUCCCGCCGCCGCGCCGUCGCCGUCGAUGUCGACGACGACCUCGGGCUCCCGNGGCGGGGUAGGAGGGGCGAUUUGAGAUCGCCGUUAGGGUUCGCCAUGGGAGAGGGAUUGGGGGGGAGGAGACGACCGGGAAAGAGAGGUUUAUAAAAAAGAGGGGAUGUAAAAAAGAAUGGAAUAGAAUAAUAAUAAAAAAAAUGGAGACCACCACUGCUACGACCGCUUUGGGAGAUAGAGGGGUGGGGGUUCAUAUAUAUACGCCUCUCGGGAUUGGCGAUAUCGGGCAUGUGGGAGGGCGUACGCGAUUCCAUUUGUGAGGGCGCGCGUUUCGUUAUUUUUUUGUAUUAAUUAAUAAAUAAAUAAAUAAAUUUUGAUUAUUUAUUAAAUUUAUUAUUAUUGGUUUUAGGAUGCUUUUAUUUUCAUUUGUUUAUUUAACGGUGUGGGGCUUAGGCCGACAUAUUGAAUGAUGUCAAAAAUGGGCCCAACCCGCUUUCCGUUCUCAAUUGGACGGAAAUGUAACGACAAGUCUCCCAACUUUACGCAGUUGCGAAAUAGCCCCUCAAUUUUGGUCCUCAAACUAUAAGACACGUAACAUUUUCGUACAUAAAUUUUAAUUUAGGAAAAACUUUAAAAACUUUCCUUAUGGUUUCUCUUUUUUUCACUUUAGUACCAUGUGGUUUAAAAUAUACAAAAUUAGUACCCUGCGGUUUAUCACUUUAUCACUUUAGUACCCUGUGGUUUAAAGUGUAUCAAGUUAGUACCCUGUGGUUUUGCACUUUAUCACUUUAGUACCCUAUGGUUUCUCACGUUAUCACUUUAGUACCCUCUGGUUUAAAAACCACAGGAUACUAACUUGAUACAAAAUUAAAAUCACAGGGUACUAAAGUGAUAAAUUGCAAAACUACAGGGCACUAACUUGAUACACUUUAAACCACAGGGUACUAAAGUGAUAAAGUAAAAAACCACAGGGUACUAACUUGAUACACUUUAAACCACAUGGCACUAAGUGAUAAAGUAUGAAACCACACGAGGAGUUUUUGAAGUUUUUUCUUUAAUUUAUUACAAUUUUGACUCAAAAAUUAUUAUAAUUAAUUCCAAACAACAAUUUAACUGAGUAGAGUAAAUGUCGUCCAUUCGUCGAUAUGAAAAUGAUACGACAUUUCAAUUAUUAUUACUUUCAUAUUAAUAAUAUAUUAAUAUUUAAUCAACUAAAUUGGAUUAUGAAACUUAAUCACAAAAUUUUAAAAAUUAGGACCAAAAGUUAUAAUAAAUUAAAAUUUAAAGAUGUGUCUCAUAGUUAAGAGUACCAUAAGUGCAGUUUAGCUAAUACUUUACUGCAUACUUACCCUAGGGAUGCGCCUUUGGAGGUUUGGAUCACCCUAUCUAGCACAUUAAUUUUUUGGCUUAAAUGCAUUCCUAUCCCUGCAAAUAUAGUGAAUUGCAAAUGUAUUUCUAUAAAAUUCAACUUUUAUAUGUUGUUGUCCCUUCAAAAGUUCUAAUAUUUUUAUAUAUAUCCCUCUGAUUUGUUACCGUAAUAGAACUGUUUUAUAUUUUAAGUGAAAUGUCAAUUUUGCCAUCACAAAUUGUUGAGCCAGUUAGGCGUGAACAGCUGGCACGCCGGGUUCAUAUCAGUAAGACGGCUAAAAUGGUAGACCUAGAGUACACCGGAUGCACGCGAGCCGCGCUGGAUCCAGUUAGGCGUGAACAGCUGGCACGCCGGGUUCAUAUCAGUAAGACGGCUAAAAUGGUAGACCUAGAGUACACCGGAUGCACGCGAGCCGCGCUGGAUCGAGGAGUUGUAGCAACCGCAAGCAGUUACGAGCGGUUCUGAUCGGCUAAAGGUGGUCCUACAAUUCAGGAGAUAGUGGCUGAUCGUGCAAGAGGGAUAACUAACGCAAGGGCAAUUCUAUAAAUAGGCAUACGAUACCCUGAAAAGAGGUCUUCGCCCCUGCGCAUAAAAGAUCACAUUUAUUUUUCUGCAUCUUUCUUUUCUGCAUUUACCGCUUUGCAUUAGGAGUAGUUUCUCCCGUAAUCUAGCAUACUCGGAGUCUGUCUGCCCUACGGGCAUCACUCCCCUGUUCUCAUACUCGGAGUCUGUCUGCCCUACGAGCAUCACUCCCCUGUUCCUGUACUCUUUUCGCUUGCUAAUCAAUAGAAAGUCACGUUCGGCUAUUCAGGCCGACCAGAUUUUGUGUUGUGCUAGCCAUUCGGCUCAUCUCCCGGCUUAAUUUCCGAUUUUUCCAGCAUAUUCGGCUCAUCCAGCCCAACCGAAGAGUGAAAAGAGUUUUCGGACCCGGCUGAUUCGAUCCCUCAUCAGCCGAAUCGCUUGAUCCAGUCGAAGGGCGCAAACUUCGAGGGUCACUAUUCGCAGCCGUUCCUCACCCCGACGCACUUCCCGAGGAGGAUACUUGACCAGGUCAAGGGUCGGGACCUUGGAACCUCCAACACAAAUAUAUACCUCUAAAACCCACAAUAAUAUAAUAUAAGAAGAGCAAAAAUGUCAAGUUAUUUUAUAAAUUAAUCAGAGUUAAGCAUUUAAACUAUAGUUAAUUAAAGUUUUUUAACGGAUUCUAACAACAUGGACAUAUUUGAAAAUAUUAGAAUUUUUGCAGCGACGACAUAUGAAAACUGAACUUCGUAAAGGAUAUAUUUGCAAUUCGCUAUAUUUGCAGAGACAUAUAUGAAAUUAAUCCUUUUUUUUUUUAUAAACCUUAGUGAUCAAUUUUAUCAUAUUAGUUUUAUCAUAAUCCCUUUUUCUAAAACUAAAAUAUUAAUACAAAAAAUCUCCUAUAAGUACUUUUUUUUUUUUUUACUUUACCCCUGUCAUAAAAAAUCUAUAUUUUAUCCUCUUAAAAUUUAAGAUUGUAGCACUUAAUUCUUUAUUUUUAUAAUUUUGCCACUAUUUUAUACAUAGAUUAUAUAGUAUAACCGAGAAACUUGCUGAGACACUCAUUAUAUCCUUAAAAUAUUGAGAAUAUAUAAGAAUCAUAUAUUUUUCUUUCAAAUUAGAUAACUAUACAAAAGAGAUAUCCGAUUAUUUACUAAUUAACUUUUCUUUUCGAAUUAUUAUAGUUAGUUAAGCUAAAAAUUUUAUUAAAUUAAGAAUUCAAUUAGUAGUAUUUGAUUGGUCUAGUUACAUUUGAUAAAUAAUAAUUAAUUUUUAAAAUUUUAAAUACUAAUAAAUUUUAUGUAAUUUAUAAUUUAUUUGACUAAAAUCAUGUAACUUUGAAAAACAAAAUUAAAAGUUAAACAGUCUCAAUCAGGAAAAGUUAAAGCUGAAAGGUCCAAAUACUAAAUUAUUAAAUUCAAUAAUUGCAAUUAUUUCUGUUUUAUUCAAUAGAAUAAUAAAUAAAUUUAAUAAAAUUUUAAUUUUCUUGAUCACUACUUAAUUUAAAAAGUAAAAACUUAAAAGUAGCGCCAAAAAAAAAAGAAAAAAGAAGACCCUAUUGAAUGUCAGAAUAUGAUAUUCCCCCAAUGUCCGGUCGAGAACGAAAGGGCUCACAGGUUUGGCGGCGAUCUGGUGGGUCAUCUGGACGGAACGCAACAACAACAUUUUCCGUGAUACGAUUCCGAACACCGAUCGAGCUACUGAACGAGUGGUUUCGUUAAGAAAAGACUGGACAGAAGCUCUUGACCCGUGACCGUGCAUUCCUUGUCGAUCUUUCCUCGAGUUUUUGUUACUUUCUACCUCGCCUCAUUUGUUUUUUGGUAUUGGUUCGUGGGGGAGGCUUUUUAUUUUCUUUUGUUCGUUUUGUUACUCUGUUUCCUGACCCUUUAGGAGGCCCUAGCUGCCUUCAUUUGUACGCUAAGUUCAUUUUCCUUAAUGAAUGAAGCAGGUAGCUUGUUACCUCUUUCUCAAAAAAAAAAUAAUAAUAAUAACCUAUUUAGUAUGAAUAUUUUUUUUGUGUGAUUGAAAAUUAUAAAUUAUAUUUUUAAUUUUUAAAAAGUCUUAAUAUUUAUUAUUUGAUAGAAUAAUAUAUUUUACCUGCGAGAUAAUUUAUCUCAUUUUUUUAAAAAUGAUUAAAAACUGAAUAUGAUAUUCCUUAUAGACAUUUAAUCACACUUUUUAUGCACCAAAUACUAUAUAUUUAUCAAGUAAAUGGAGAGAAUAUACCGAAUAAAGUGCUCAUGCAUCUGAAUAAUACCUAAGUUGGGAGGGAUCGGUUUAGAAUAAUUUAUGGUUGAGGGGUCUCCAUACAUUUUUACCACUACUUCAUAUUUGGUUAAGAGUUGGAGAACUAUGAUGUCAAAAAUGGACCCGACUUUAGGGUUUGGUCCGAAAAUUGACGCAGCUGUGACAGGGAAAUAUAAUAAUUUUUAUGCCAUGAGAAAUUCAAAGAAAGUAGUUAAGAAUGGAUAAAUAAAUUAAUUAAUAAAGGACAAUCUCUUCAAAUUCGUUGUUAAGCUAAAUUUGGGAUGUUGGAUAAUAUUUUUUAAGUCACAAAGGUGUCAAGCUCAUAUUUAGCUAAUCAAGGUUAAAAGGGAUUAAGACCAACAAAUAAAACAAAAGGUGAUGGAUUAUUAUUAUUAUUAUUAUUAUUUUUGAUAAGUUAAUCACUACGACUUGUAGUUAAGAUGAUGUUUGAUUAGCCGAAAAUAAAGCACGAAAAAUAUCACUUUUGGCCUAUUAUCAAUUGUUUGAUUUGUGAGAGUAAUUACAAAUUUAUUUUACAAAAAUGCAAUGAGUAAGUGUGAUAUAACUGAAUCUCACUUUUUUUAUUUUAGCUCAAAAUUUUCGAAGUCAUCGAAAUUGGAUCCAAUUUUAACUUAAAUUUGAUUUAAAAUUAUAAAGUCGAUAGCUAGCUCAAUAUAAAUUGUUAAUUCAAGCUUAAAUUUCAAAUAGUGACCGUAUUUGAAUUCAAAUUUUAAGAUCGAAUAGAAAAUAAAAUUUGAUUCAGCUAUGAAUUCAGAUUUGAUUUCAUGUUUUUAUUUCAUGUUCAAAUUCAAAUUUGUUUAAUUUUAGAAUUUAAUUUCAAUGAUGAGGUGUAACUCUAAUUUUGGACUCAAAUUGCAAAUUUAAUUACAUGUUUUGGAAACCAACUAUACAUUUAAAUUUAAUUCUAAAAAUUAAAAGUUACUUUUAAAUUUUUGUAAUGAAUUUAGAUUUGGGUAAACUUCAAAUACCAUUCCGGUGGUUUCGCACCUUCUCACUUUAGUAUCUUGUGGUUUAAAGUGUAUCAAUUUAGAACCCUAUGGUUUCAUUUUUCUUUUUUCGUCAACUUCUCCAUUAACAUUUCGUUAAAUUAUAUACAAAAAACUUCAGAUACCCCAUCUAGGUUUAUCAAAUAUGCAUUUUAGUAUUUUUUUAGUUUUAAUUUUGUCACUGAUUUAACGAAAAAAAAUUAGUGGAAGGAUAAUAGAAAAAAAAUAAAACCACGGGGUACUAAAUUGAUACACAUUAAACCACAGGAUCUAAAAUAAAAAAGUGCAAAACCACAGAAUUGGUAUUUGAAGUUUUUUCUUUAGAUUUUAAUUCAAAUUAGCAGCAAAACUUAUUGCUUCAUAUUUUUAACUUAUUUAUAUAUAGCCAAACAAUCAAAACUAUAAGAUUAUAAUUUUAUGUUUUUUAUUUUAUAGUCAAUCAAAAAAUCCAACUUAGAAGUUUUUUCCAAAUUAUUUAUAUAUACAAAAAUAAUUUUUUUCAGUUCAGCCACUUAUAAAAAACCAAACAUAUUCUAAAAAACAUACUUGGUUUUGAAAAUUUGGGACUUGGAAUGGUAAUCAGAGAGGCCAAUUUUUAUUGUUAAUGUUUGAUUUGAGUGAUUGACAUUUCGAUUCCCAUUCCAUGGAAAAUCAAAUCCCCUGCAAGUUUUGUCUAAUUCGGAUAGAAAUUGUGUGAGGAGGGUUUCCCAAAUUAUUUAGAGACUGGGAUUUAUUAACACGCAAGCAUUAACUCAAAAAAUUAAAACUUUUACAAAAAGAAACAAAAAAAAAAAUAUUAACUCAAAAAAAUAAGAUAUUUUUCAUUCUAG
rnacentral:lncRNA from 1 species